rnacentral:rRNA from 1 species
UGUUUCUUGAUUGUUUUAUAAGAAAUAAGGUCUGCCCUAUGAUUUAUAUUAAAUGGCCGCAGUAUAUUGACUGUGCAAAGGUAGCAUAAUCGUUUGUCUCUUAAUUGGGGUCUAGAAUGAAUGACUUAAUGAAAGAAAUACUGUCUUUUAAGUAAUAUUUGAAUUUUUAGGUUAGGUGAAGAUACUUAAAUGCUUUUAAAAGACGAGAAGACCCCGUCAAGUUUUAUGAUAAAUAUUAAUUUUAGGUAUAAUUGGUUAAUAGAUUCAUUUGGUUGGGGCAAUUAUUAAAUAGUAAAAACUUUAUUGAUUUUAUAUGUUUAUGAGCAGAUAUUUUCUAUGAUCCAAGGUUUUGAUUGAAAGAAUAAAUUACUGCGGGGAUAACAGCGUAAUUCCUCUUUAGAGUUCUUAUCGAUGGAGGAGAUUGCGACCUCGAUGUUGGAUUAAGAUACUUAUUUGGCGCAGGUGUUUAAUAAGGUAGUCUGUUCGACUAUUAAAUUCUUACA